rnacentral:rRNA from 1 species
AGGACGAACGCUGGCGGCGUGCUUAACACAUGCAAGUCGAGCGGAAAGGCCCUUCGGGGUACUCGAGCGGCGAACGGGUGAGUAACACGUGAGCAACCUGCCCUUAGCUCCGGGAUAGCUCCGGGAAACCGGAAUUAAUACCGGAUAUGACUUAGGCCGACAUCGGCUGUGGUGGAAAGUUUUUUCGGCUGGGGAUGGACUCGCGGCCUAUCAGCUUGUUGGUGGGGUAAUGGCCUACCAAGGCGACGACGGGUA